ensembl:lncRNA
CUGUCAUAAAAACUUCACGAAUUUAUUCAAACAUAAAUUAAACAUUGAAGAACAGUAAUAUUUAUAAUGAAUAUGUUAUAUGGUGCAUAUAUUACGUAGAAUGCCUCUCUCUACAGUUUAUUUUUCUAUCUGACUUGAGUUUAUGGUCACGAAUAUGUUUUUCUGAGGUAAAUGUGACGUUACGUGGCAUUGUUUACAAGGCGUUAUAUUGAAGUCUUUGCGCGGCUGAAACACUGAUUGAGAGAUUACACGAGACGGGAUACGGAUUGUAAAGUUGUACUUUCUUUUAACUUACCUUCGGAUGUUUAGUCAAGUUUAUUUUGUGCUAUAACUAGUAAUAAAGCGGAGGAGAUGAUCAGUUCACUGAGGCGCUACAGCGAUCACUCCACAUUAAACAGCGCCAAAACUGCAUUUAUUGUUUGAAUACUGCAAUACAACAGACAGAAUUUGAAAUCGGAGACUGUUUCAUAUUAAAAGUACCAAAGCACAAAGCUUAGGUGCCCUUCAAUGUUCCGUCCAUUAAGGCGAGACAAAAACAUGAAUAACGUAACUGAAAACAGGCCAGACUAAUCGAUUCUUGGGAUUUAAGAAUCAAUAUCGUUUCGUAAAAAUGAGAAUCGAUUGAAAUCGCGAGAUCAGUAUUUUUUUACCCAGCCCUAUUGGUGUCUGUCUGUGUGUGUGUCUCUGUCUGUGUGUGUGUCUCUGUCUGUCUGUGUGUCUCUGUCUGUCUGUGUGUGUGUGUGUGUGAGAUGAACAUGUUCGGUUGGAGCCCUUAACAGCGCAGCACGUUCGAGGAUGUCCGGGACGCGGAGGACGCUCUGCUCAAUCUGGACCGGAAGUGGGUCUGUGGACGGCAGAUCGAGAUCCAGUUCGCUCAGGGAGACCGCAAGACGCCGGGGCAGAUGAAGACCAAAGAGCGGCAGUCGCCACGCAGCCACUCGCGAUACGAUGACUACGAUCGGCGCAGACGCUCACGCAGCCGCGACAGACGCAGGUCUCGCAGCCCGUCCUACGACAGGCGCCGCAGACGAUCCCAGAGCCCUAGAGAGUCCAGAGGAGGAACACACCGCAGACGCAGCCGAGAACACGACAGGCCCAGGCCGUCUGCACGUGACCGUAGCCGAAGCCCCGCCCACUCCAAGAGAAGGGGCGGAGCUCAGUCGCGCUCCAGGUCCAAGUCCAGCAGCCCGCGGGAAACCAGCCAGCUCCACACAGAGAGUCCGGACGCCGCUGAGGAGAAGACGCAGACGCGCUCCCCGUCCCGCUCCAGAUCCCGCUCCAGAUCCCGCUCCUGGGCCGGACGCAAGUCCUGGGGGCAUUAGAGUCCAUGCAAACCUGUUUAGGUUUUGUCGUUUGCGUGAAUGUCUGCGAGUGACAGCCGUCUGUCUGUUUCUUUUAAUACGGAGGCAAUCAAAGCAUCGCCUGUUUUAGCACACGCAUCUGCUAGCGGCUGCAGUGUUAGCAUUGAUGAUGUCUGUGUGGUUUAGUUUACAAGCGCAGCUGCGCAGAAUGAGAGAUGAAAAUCACCUCAAUAUUUUUGUAAGAGAUUUUUGUUUUAGUUGAUCAGUAAUGGCCAUCCAUUUAAAACGGUCUUCCACGAGUGUCUCGGAUGUGUUUUAUUGUGAAAUCUGCAGGCCUUUUACAUGUAACCUCAGAAUGAAAUAAAUUUCUUGUGCAUCAGUAUGUUUUCCAGUUUAUCCUCAGAUCUGGAUUCCUAAUCAUUGUGAAGUAUAUGAAGCUGGUUUGGCACAAUGUGUGCUUGUGGGUUUGGUUUGGAGUAAUAAUUACAAAGGAAUCAUCGCAUGUUGUGACUUCAGCCUUCUGAUUGAGUUUCCAAAACUUAAAUUGAGUUCACCCUGAUCUUGCCAUUUACUCGCCCUCAUGUUUUUCCAAAUCUGUUCACUCUUUAUACUAAAGGUUCCAGAAGAGGGGUUUUCACAGUGAGGCCACGGCAGAAACGGGUUUAGUUCCUAAAGAACCUUUCAUUGCUCAGUUCAUAGAACAACCACUUUUUGUCUUGGUGUGAAGAAUAUUUUAAUAAAUCCAAAGAACCUUUCCCCACAAUAAAGAACUUUUAUUUGGAAAUUGAUGCCACAGAUUUGAGUGUCGCAGAAAAGAUUUUUUGAAAAAUGUUUGUUUUCCCAUAUAAAAAAAAAAAUCAUACCAUGUACUAUAUACAGUUGUAUACAACAUAUGAAAGUCAAAAUAUAAUCUUUUGUGUUGUAUGGAAGAAAGGCUUCUGCAGGUUUGGAACGGCAUGAUGGGGAUUAUAGUCUUGCUUCUCAUCUCUGUCCUGUGCUUUGAGGUGUUUUCUGCACGAGUGCUCUUUGAUGACACGUGUCAAAUAAACCUAGCCCUGACCCUGUGACCCUUCAGCAUUAGAUGAUCAUCAUCGUUAGUGUGUAAGAGCAGCUGCUGCCAAAUCAAUGAACCUGCUCGCACGCCACCGAAAUCCAUCCCACAAUCCACGGGACUCCUGAUUGGUCGAGAGCUGCCGAAGCACCGCCCCUGCGCUCUCUGGCCAUCGAUAGGUCAAUGACAGGUUUAAAAACAUCGACAGACACCGGCUUGAGGGAAAACCUUGAUUGGAUUCUGAGAGCAGUUCAUGUAUGAAAUCGGACAUGACGGA